UAGGGACGCGUCCUCGAAACAAGGAGAGACUCUCAAAAUAUUUUCCUUCCUUAUGAAAAAUAGGCGAUGUACCAACAGACGCUGAUACUUGGAUCUUGACAGGCAGCCCGGAAAGGGGCUUUCAAGGGCGUCAACAGGACGCCGUCAGUUCGAGCGUGCCGACGUCCGCCCCUGCGUCAGGGGUUACGCCGGAAGUGGGCGUGUUUGCGUCUUCGCGCAGCUGUGAGAGGUUGGUGCUAUGCCGUGUAGGUGUUUGACACGGUAUUUACUGCUGGUUGGCUGGUUGUAGAAAUGACCGCAUGGGCACAAAAUUCAAACUGUAGUUAAGGCAAGAACAUUAUCCAGUUUAUAUGUCUUCUCAAAAGUUUUUUUUCCCCAAACGCGUCAGAGCAUACUAAACACCUACUGGUAGGUGUGUAAAUGUUGCGACCACUUUGGAAGGCAGUUGAGCAAGAAGUAGUGAAACUGAAAAUGUUUAAAUACUAAAUCCCAGCAUUCCUUCCAAGGAUUCUAUCCAGGAUACCACAUUCCAGCAUCUAGAUUAAGCCGGGGACUCUCCUGAGCGAUGAAACUGUAACGAUGAAUCAAACGAGGUCCUUGUCCUCAGGAUUCCACAAGGAGAAAGGCGAGUACAGCAUCCUCAGUGCCGUGACGGAGGCCACUGAGCGGGAGCAGCGAGGCCGUCCACGGGCGGGCGGUGGCACAGUGCCUGCAUUAGAGGAUGCGGCUGGAAGGAAGGAGACCCUGACCAAAAGCCUCACAGAGGAGGCCGAACUCGGGAAAGAGGAGCACUUUGACCGGAGAACAGCUAACAAGGCUAUUUUAGGCAGAAAGUCUUUUAGCUUAUGUAAAGGCAUAGCGAUGGAGAACAGCUUUAAAAACUUAGUAGCUUUAGAGAAUAAGGUCGACAAAUGAACAGGACUGCGACGUAUUAAAAUGAAGCAAAUUUAUAAUUUCGCACCAGGCUUGAGUGAAAUACUAAAUAAAACCCAUCACGCUUAGUCGUUCAGCUAAAUUCACACCUCUUUUCCAUUUUUGUGUUUUCUCCUGUGAAAAGAUUUGAACAAAGUAUUUUUGUUUUAUUU